rnacentral:rRNA from 1 species
UACUAUGUUACGACUUAUUUCAAUUUAUAUAUGAAAGCGACGGGCAAUAUGUACAUAUUUUAAUUAUUAAUCAUUUUAUUAAUUUAAAUAAAAUUACAUUCAAAUCCACUUUCAAUUAAAUAUUUCAAUUUAAUAACCAUAUAAAUAAAUUUAUUGUAAUCCAUUAUAUUCUUAAUUAUAAUCUGCAUCUUGAUCUGAUUUUAUCUCUUUUUAAAAUUUUAAAAUAUUAUUUUCAUUAAAAAAUAUUUUUUUAACAACGAUAUACAAAAUAAUAAAUUAAGUUAAUUUAUUCGUGGAUUAUCAAUUAAUAAACAGAUUCCUCUGAAUGAACUAAAAUACCGCCAAUUUAUUUAAGUUUCAAUAAAUUAUUUACUAUUUUAGUUUUAUAUAUUUAAUUUUUUAAUAAUAGGGUACUAAUCCUAGUUU